rnacentral:lncRNA from 1 species
UUGGAAAAAGGAUCAUUUCGUCAUCAUUGAUAGGGACCCUUGCGUUAGAUGGAUCCAACUAGGACACACCCACCCAUCUCCAAGAAAUAGUUCGUACCUCUAAUUUCCCUCUCUUUUGGUCUUCCUUUUGCCAUAUGGAGAAUCAUCUUAUUCAUCUCCUUGGAUCCCAACCACCCAUUGAUAUCUCCUUGCCUCUAUAAAUGCGUUCUCUGCUCCCUCAUUCUAUC